rnacentral:rRNA from 1 species
AUUGAACGCUGGCGGCAGGCCUAACACAUGCAAGUCGAGCGGAUGAGAGGAGCUUGCUCCUUGAUUUAGCGGCGGACGGGUGAGUAAUGCCUAGGAAUCUGCCUGGUAGUGGGGGAUAACGUCCGGAAACGGGCGCUAAUACCGCAUACGUCCUACGGGAGAAAGCAGGGGACCUUCGGGCCUUGCGCUAUCAGAUGAGCCUAGGUCGGAUUAGCUAGGUGGGGAGGUAAUGGCGCACCAAGGCGACGAUCCGUAACUGGUAUGAGAGGAUGAUCAGUCACACUGGAACUGAGACACGGUCCAGACUCCUACGGGAGGCAGCAGUGGGGAAUAUUGGACAAUGGGCGAAAGCCUGAUCCAGCCAUGCCGCGUGUGUGAAGAAGGUCUUCGGAUUGUAAAGCACUUUAAGUUGGGAGGAAGGGUUGUAGAUUAAUACUCUGCAAUUUUGACGUUACCGACAGAAUAAGCACCGGCUAACUUCGUGCCAGCCGCCGCCGUAACAC